CGACGUUCCGGCCUCUGCAGGCGAGGCCUGGGGCCGCGAGGAGGAUGUCGGCGGUCGUGAGGGCGUCGUCGUCGUCGGGGGCGACGGCGCAGGAGAAGCUGACGGCGGGGCUGGCGGCGGCGGCGGUGGCGGCGGCGCUGGUGCUUCCCGAGGUGGCGGAGGCGGCGAGCCCGGGGCUGUCGCCGUCGCUCAAGAACUUCCUGCUCAGCAUCGUCUCUGGCGGGGUCGUCUUCGCGGGCAUCCUUGGCGCCGUCGUCGCCGUCUCCAACUUCGACCCCGUCAAGCGGACCUGAUCGUGCUAAAUUCCGGUCCGACGCCCCGGGGCUCGCUCGAUUUGUAAUCUCUCUUUGCUCUGCGUUCUCAUUCCGAGACGUCGACCGUGUAUGUAGAAGAGAUAUAUCCAUUGUUAUGGUAUAUUAAUGGAGUUCUGGUUAAUGGUUGUGUGUACUCUGCUCCUCUGCUGUUUAAUUUGAUUGAAAAAACAAACAAACUUGAGAAGCUGCCUGCGUUCCGGGAUUCAUCGAGAUCGAGCGAGUGACUCAACUGACUCUUGACCAAAUCUGCUUCUUUGCCGAGCUCUGGUUUUAUCUCUUCAAUUAAUAUACCAUAACAUUUGUCAUCCGCUAUGUUAACAAUUGUUUUCUGACCGUUGCUUCAGCGCACGGAUCCGCCACUCAAGAUAAGCCCGCUUCCGCCGAAUUCGCUUCCUCCUUGGCCGCCGCAGCACCGCUAGCCUUGGAGCAGCCGUCCUCCCCCUUGAUUUUUCCGACGCGCCCCUUGGGACGACCGGCCGCCUUCCUUUUGUUGUCCUUCGCCUUGCUCUUCGUGGUGCACGACCUCAGCGAGAACCUUUUCUGGCCGGACAUCGUAAGAUUCCUGAUCUGCUCGCGUUCAAAAGGGGAUGAGUCGACUUGCGUUCGCAGGCGGUCGGGGCGUCGAUCAGGGCGUCGAUCGGGACGUUGAUCGGGGUGGUGCUCCUUGCGGGGGGAGAGUUGAUCGUGGCACGUUGUGUUCCCGAUUUUGGGGAGCUGAGGAGGAGUUCUCGAGCGAUGAGGAUGCGGUGGCGGAACCUUCUCCCCGGCCGCAGGUUGGGGAUUUCAUGGCGGCGGCUAUGGCCAAACUCCCUGCACGUCGGCAGAAGUUUGCGCCGGGAGGGAGACCAUCAGGAGGCGGAUUCGCGCAUCGCGAGGAAUGGUGGAAAUCGCACCAUCAAAAUGGAGAUGGAUCGUUUCGUUUGAUCCCUCAGUUGGAUUCGAGAGUUGAUUCUCGUCAUAUCUCGAAUCUAGGGAAUGAGAUUGCACCAGAUGAUCGAACUGGCAAUCAUCUGAGUGGGGAUGGUGAAAUCGCUUCUCCGAUUCGGUGCAUGAGGUUGUUUCGGGAGGGAGAUGGAAUUGUAUCCUCAGUUUGUGAGGUUCGUCCAGAUCGAUCUUCGGAGAUACUAACUGAUACCGAGAUCGUUGUUUCACCUUCAGUUGCUACAGGUCCUUGUGGAGGGAGGGAAUAGAGUUUUGUUGAAACGCAUGAUGGGUGUGCCACGGCGGAUGUGGUGGAGGUUGAGGGUCCUACACGACGAGGUCCGUUUGACCUGGUUGAGCUCAACCAUGGUGGCUGUAGGGUCCAGGAGGAGAAUAUUCCGAGUCCCGGUUUCCCCUUUGAUCACAUUUCCCCUCUUUUCCACCAUUUUGUGGCGACAGUGUGGUUCUAGGGCUUCGGAUUGUACCGCCGGGGUGGAGGCGGUGAAUCCUGUGAGUGAAGGUGGGGGAGUGAUUGCGGUGGAGAUGGCUGAUGGAGGAGACUGGCGUGGUCGAGGUGGAUUUGGUGCUGGUGGACGUGGCGGCGGUGGAACUAGCCAUCCUUGGCAGGGUGGGUGUGGAGGGGGCGGUGAUGCCCGUUCCUACAACAAGCAGCGGCAGUCGUAUGGGCAAAAUUUGGGUAUGAAACGCUUCUCCUCUCAAAACCAGACUGGGUCGGACGUCUCAAUUUCAGCAGAAACAGUAUCAGCAUACAGAUCCGCAACUGCAACUGCAGCAGUUUGCGAGCGAUGUGGAUGGACGCGGAGGAGGAGCUCAACAAGGGGGACAGGGAAUGUUGCAGAUGGUUGGUGGUCAGAAUCAAAUCAUUUCACACAGAGUGGUGAGUAUUGGUAUAGGCGAUCCGGUGGCUUCUAGAGGUACUGGGACUCAGAAUCAGUCGGGAACUCAGAAUCAAAUUGCUGUGGGGAAUGAUGGAAAUGCUGGGCUAAGACAGAAUGGUGGAUCUGGUGGUAAUCAGGUGACUAGUGGAAGUAUUGCUGCUCAGAAACAAUUGGAGGGUGGUGCCAAUCAGAACCAGGGAGGGGCUAGAAUGGGGAGGAAGAUCUUGCAAUGUCAGAAAUGUAAGGAAUUGGGGCAUGUGGUGAAGUAUUGUACUGUUGUGAUUCAAUGCAUUAUCUGUGCUAAGGAAACUCAUCUAACUGAAGAUUGUGUGUGGCCAAAACAAGUUAAAUCUGUUGCUAGCUUUGUGGGGUAUGGAGCGCCUGGGCUGGGAUGUAUUCUGGUGCAUAAUUCAAAGAUUACCCAUCUAGCUGAUCAUGUAAACCCAAUGGCCAUCAUACAGACCAAAGGAGGUGGAGUUUCAGAGCAACAAAUUGUGGCUGGAUUUCAAGCAAUGUUUAAGUGGAAUUGGGAAUGGAGGGCCAAGGCAAAUGGGAACAAUCAAUUCUUGAUGAGGAUGCCAAGUAAAGCUAAACUUGAAGAGCUUUGCAACUUUGAAGAUUUUGGGCUUAAAGGGACAGGGGUCUUUGUUAAGGUGCUUGAGUGGAUACUUGAAGUAACAGCUAAUGGGAAGUUAAAUACAGCUUGGGUAUAGGUUCAAGGUUUGCCUAAUUCAUUGAAACAUUAUAUGGGGGUUUGUGAAGCUGGCUCUGUUCUAUGCCCUGUAAUUGAUGUGGACAUGGAGAGUUUGAGAAACCAAGAUCUGAUUAGGAUUAAAAUGGGGCUUCGAGAUCCUGGCAAACUACCUAUUCAGACUGAAAUAACUACAAGUGAGCUGUUUAUGUAUGAUCUGUAUUUUACUCUAGAAAGUGUUGUGGAGGAAGGGUGACAAAGAAAUCUUAGGGCUGUUAACAUCAGAGGGAGCAUAGAGGGUGAAGACAGAGAUCCAAAGAAAUAGAGGUUGGGACUUAAUACUAGAGAGAUCAUUUAGUUGGGGAGUCUCUCAAUUGCCCAAUUUGAAUCUGCUAAGAAAACUAAUGAGGGAGAUGUUAGGAAUAGCUUUGCACCUCUGCUUAUGGAUGAAGGUGGGAGCAGUGGAGGGGGAUCACUUGAUCUGGAGAAGAUAAAGGAAGCUGAUGAGGAACUUUCUAGAAAAUUAGCUUUAAUUGAGAAAGAAAAAAGGUCCUAGCUGACUUAAUUCUUGCAAAAGAGAAUAUGGUUUUAGAGGUGGAAGAUCAUAAAGCUCAACUUGCUACCACCAGUAAAAAAUUGCUGGAGACACAAAAGCUGAUUGAGAUCCAUAAAGAUUAUGGAGUGGGUGGGAGCCAAAACUCUCAAGAGGAAAGUGAGAAACAAGUGGAUUAUACUACCAGUCAGGAGAAAGAGAUGGAUGAAUUUGAUCUGGAAGAAGUUGAGGAGGUACCAGAGGUGGAGGAUACAAAUGACAAGGGGGUGGUUCCUAACCCAAGAAGAUGUGGAAGACUGAAAGGGAAAGAACACAAGAAAGUGGAGGACUUGGCUAUUGAAAGAGCUCAGGCCAAGAACAAUGCGGGGCAAGGUACUGCUGAUCACUUAUCUUUUGUUGAUUCUGAUAAUGUUUCCUUGCACCAAAUUGCUUCUGCCAUAGGAAUUAAUUUGGGUAUUGCUAUUGAUAUGGUUGAUCAUAAUGUGGGCUUGCUCAAGGAUCUUGAGCAAGCUAGAAUAAAUCUUUAUAAUCAACAAAGCAGGGCACCUGAUUUGGGUGGACCUACUAAUGAUACUGUUGGUUUAUCUGGUGAUAAGUUACUAGAUGAACUUUUGGCUGAACUAGAUGCUGAGGAACAAAUGGAUAUUACUUUAGAUGAGAAUGGAUACCAGAAGGUGGUAAGUAAAAAGAAAAAGAAAUUGAAAAAGCACUCACCUGACAUUGUUAGUGUGAAGACAUUAGUUAAAUAUAGAAGGAGCAAAACAUGAAACGCAUUUUCUGGAACAUUAGGGGGAUGGGCAAAGAGGCUAAACAGAGAUAUAUUAGAGAAUUGAUAAAUGAAACACAUUUGAACUUCUUGGGUUUACAGGAGACAAUGAAAAAUGAAUUUUCUAAUGUAGAUCUAGCAAACCUGGGAGGAGGGGGGACUUUUUCUUGGAAAUGGUCACCCUCUAGAGGGAGGUCUGGAGGGAUUCUUGUUGGGGUGAGAGAUUCUGUUUUUGACAUAGUGGAACAACAAAAUGGAAAUUAUUAUGUUCGACUGUUGCUAUAUGACAGAAAUCAUGAUGUUAGAUGGAAUCUGGUUGUGGUUUAUGGGGCUGCUCAAAUAAAGCAUAAAGAGGAUUUCCUGCUUGAAUUAUCUCAAGUUUGUCAGGAUAGUAGUUAUCCUAUUCUGAUGGGUGGUGAUUUUAACAUAAUCAGGAAAGAAAAUGACAAAAAUAAAGAGGUAGGUUAUAAUCGAUGGAGCUUCCUGUUCAAUGCUAUAAUUGAACAUCCAUGUCUGAGGGAAUUGGCACUCAAUGGGAGACAAUUCACUUGGUCGAAUGAACAUGAGAUUCCAACUUUUCAAAAAUUGGACAGAAUCUUAAUGAGCAUAGACUGGGAGGAUAUGUAUCCUCUCACAAUAGUUUCUGCUCUUGACAGAAUAAGCGGAUUUUUGGCCUGUACGUUCACUGGAUUUUGCUAUCACACCACAAGUUUCUGCUUGAAGAUCUGUGCAACAUGGUUCCAUGGUGCACCGGCUGGGGGAACCCCACGCUGGCAAGCUGUUCUUCGUAGCCCUGUCAAGACCUGGUCCUCCUUGUCCUGUCCCCCGAAAUUACGUGUUGGCUAGCAUCGCGUGCUCUGCUUUUCUGGUGCAUCGCAUCAGGUGGGCCCUGGGCUUUCUUCGUUUAGCAUCUGCGCCUGUGGGAACGGAAAGAGUACAGAGGUUCCAAGAAAAUGCCGAUUUCAGAAACUAUCCUGCUGGAGGUGCCGCUCUCUCGCCACCUGAACGGGUGGGGGGGUGAUUGGUAGCCCGCCGGCCAUAAGGAUGGAGACAUGACUGGACCGGAUGAGCCCAUCAACUUCUAACCAGGUUAGUUACGCUUUGGUUGCAAGGGGUCGACGGUGUGUGUUUGGGGGUUGUGAGUUCUAGGGACUCUUGGUGCGGCACUUGGUCAUGGGUGGUUUUUUGGAUUUGUCACACCGGGUGACGCUGAUUUUGAUUCUGUUUUUGAUGUUUCUCAGAUAGACUUGGACCUUGCUUCGCAAAUGUGCUACUCCGCUGGCCUUGUUCCGGCGGAGCAAGGGUGUGAGAAUAGUCAGGCAGCGCGCGUGUCAGCAGAUCUGCUAGAUUUCGAUCUUGAAGGUUGUAGUAGGAUGGCUGUAGAAGGUCGAGGUAUCGAAGAAUUAGCCGGUAACAACGCGCCGCAUCCUGUGCUAGUUUCAAAUCCGCAAUGUGCAGCCGCCUAGUGCGCCUGCUCCGUCAAAUGAUCUGCAAAUGAUCUUACCGAAACGCGGAUUCAUCUGCUGACAGUCUUUCACUUCAGGGUCUGACUCACCACCGCUUAGCAGGUCUUCUGCUCGACGAUUCAGGUGGGCUGAAGUGCCGGAAUGGUAGAUCUCUCUGUCAAGAAUCUUGGCUACAAGUUUCAUGUUCUCUUUGACGAUCGCGACCUUGAAUUUGUAGGUGAGCAUAAUGCACCGGGCAUUGUGGUACUUCAGCGCGUCCACAACAUCAAGACCGAGCAUGCCAGGGUAGUUUGAUGACAGGAAGUCAGUGAACUCGCUGCCAUGGUGCCAUGGUGUCUGCCAGUAUCAUCUUGUUGAUGACCGCCUCGUCUGCGUACUGGCUGAUGUGUGGCAUGACAGUGUGAGCGUUGCCAAGAUGUCCAAGCGUGAUGUUGUCGAGAUAAAGGACCUAUUUGGAAAACAAGUUAGCAUAUGAAGAUGGGAUAUGGGAAGGAAAGAGCCAAGCAACAAAGUACUUCCAUAUAAUUUUGAAGAUGCAAGUGUUGCUACCUGGACUAGCAAUGGACAUCCUGUUAUUGACAUUGUAGCCUUGUUGCUACGGAUGUCCUCCUGCACCCUAUCGGCCACGUCAAUCAUGUGAUCAAGAAAGUAUAGGCCCCAAUUAUAGUCCUUUAUCUCACUAGCCUUGUAAAGAGAGCCCCAAAAUUCAGAGGAACCAUGCCCAUGUUUCCCGGUUGGAGCAAAGAACCGGCCAACGAUCCAUACAACGAAGGAAAUCUGGAACUCUUUUACGUUCUCUUCGGUGGUGUCAUCGUCCCAUUCCCUCUGCACCACUAACUCGGCUGCCUGCAACCCGUUCGAGCAGUGUUGGAUAGCACCCAUGGCGUGCCUCACAAAGUCGAUUUUCUCAUCGUUGGUGUCCGGAUCCAAUGCGCACACUGUCUUCCCUCGAGAGGGGACACCGAUCAUCAGCUCAAAAUGUUGCGGGCUGAGCUGGAGCGUGGUGUCUCUUCCAACUAACAUGGACCUUUUGCUCACAUCUACCCUGGUAAGGAUCCAUAGAGUAUACUUGAGGUUGACUCGAUUUAUCCUAGGAAUGUCCAGGCAGCCACGAAAACCAAUAUCCCUGACUGCAACCUUCUUAGCAUCAUAGAAUUUUGUUAUAAUGGCACUUACAUGGCGGGCCGAGCUUCGGGCUAUCCGAGACUCAGCACCCCCGUCGCUGUCUGUCUCUGACUGCUCGCUGUCUUCCCCAGCGGUUUCAACGUUCCGGGCGGCGACAAAGGCCCAGGAUCUGGUUCGGGCGAGCCUGGUCCUGGCGAGUGCGCUUUCGGGGGCGAGAUGGCACCGCUAUCUCCGCGGCAAGUUUCUCCACCUGCGACAAAUUAACAAAAUAAAGGGAACGGUCAGAUCUGCAGAUGUGUGAGAUUUGAGGAUGAACAAACAGAGAUUUUGACAACCACUUGGCCAGAAACCAUGACGGGCGUCGACGGUACUAAGCGGGGAGCAUGCUGCUGCAACGAGAUUUGAUAAUAGUGCUUGUAGCUGGGUGGAGGACUGAAGUUGGGAGUGACGAAGAAUACCUGGGAGACGGAAACGCGCAUCUGUCAGGGAGCAACGAUGAAGUGACCUGCAUAUCCGGGAUUCCAGGGAACAUUGGGCGAACGGUUCUUACGGCCUGAAAGUCAACAGAGGUAUCAUGCUGUGGGGCCCAGGUUCUAAUCUGCAAGCUAAGGACGCACAAUGAGGGGUGGUUUAGGAAGAGAAAGCUUCGUCACACUGCAGGCGUCUCCCCGACAAGAUCUAGAUCCUGAUGAUAAAUUUGAACCCUAGGAGAACAAAUCAAGCCUGGGAUUCCGCGGAGUGCGCGACUAUUACUGGCAGGAGGCAAGACAGCAUUCGCAUAGUAGCGCUGGCGGAUCGAACGAGCUCGCAUGCUUGCUGCUGUCCGUGGAAAUGUUAGGUGCGGGGAUCUUGUUCCGGCUCACGAUUUCCAUGGGUAAGCAGUGGGGUGGACGGGGGAGCAAAUGGGGAAAGGGCGGAGUGAUGCAGGACCGAACGACGUAGGAUGCACGGAAAGGUGGAACGUGUGAGGACAGAGUGCUUUAGGACGUCGAGUCACACGAAUUGAGGACAGGAGAAGUACCUGUCCUAUGGUUCGGUCCCCACGCCGGAUGCUACAAGCUAGAACAGGAAGCGUGAGCCCUAUAAAGAAGUAGUAGGAAACGCGAGGAGAUCGGACGGCAGCAGAUGUACGUUCCAAUGAACGUACAGGCCAAACUGCAUUUCCCCUUGACAGAAUUAUGUCAGACCAUGUUCCUUUAUUAUUAGAUUCUGGAGUGGGAUUGAAAAAGGAUCAUGUUUUUAGAUUUGAGAGCAACUGGUUUGAAAGGGUUGGAAUAAGAGAAAGCAUUCAACAUAUUUGGGCAGCUGCCCCACAACAUCUUAUAUCUUUAGAUAAAUGGCAAUGGAUUUUAAGAACAAUCAGGAAAAAAAUUAAAGGGCUGGAAUAGGAACGUGGAUGCCCUUUAUAAAAAAUUGAAAAAAGAGAUCUCUGCUCAAGUGGCUGACCUUGAUGUACUGGCUGAAUCUACUUGUGUUUCUCCAGCUCAAUUGGAACUGAAGAAAGGGCUGGAACUACAGUACAAUAGAUUAUUGAGACAAGAAGAGUUAAAAUGGCAACAGAGGUCUAAGGAGAAGGAUAUUCUUGAGGGUGAUAAUAAUACAAAAUAUUUUCAUGCUAAAGCUAAUGGGAGAAGGAGGAAAAAUAUUAUCCUAUCCCUGGAACAGGAAGAGGGGGUGAUACAUGGAGAGGAGAACCUGAUGAGUUAUAUCACUGAUUUUUAUAAAAAAAAACUUUUUGGGCACUCCAAUAGUGCAUAGAUUGCUCUGGACUAUCAGAAUGGUGCCAAAAUUACUGAUGAUCAUAUUUCCAGUUUGAUCUCUCCUUUUACUAUGGAAGAACUAAAAUUUGCUGUCUUCAAUAUGGAGAGAACUAAAUCACCUGGGCCAGAUGGAUUCCCCGCAGAAUUUUAUCAAGUUUACUGGGAUAUUGUCAAGAAUGAUCUGUUUACUCUGUUAUGUGAAUUUCACAAUGGGGGAUUGCAGAUUGAGAGGAUUAAUUAUGGGAUAAUUACAAUAAUUCCUAAAUGUAAGGAUGCAAAACAAAUACAGAAGUGUAGACCUAUUUAUCUGUUAAAUGUUAGUUUCAAAAUAAUUACAAAAGUCUUAAUGAACAGGCUCUCUUUGUGUGUGGGUGAAGUUAUUUCCAAUAAACAAACAGUUUUCCUUAAGGGGAGAUAUAUAAUGGAGGGGGUCAUGGUGUUGCAUGAGACACUUAACUUCAUACACACUAGAAAAAAAUCUGCCAUUUUAUUUAAGGUUGAUUUUGAGAAAGCGUAUGAUAAAAUUAAAUGACCUUUUGUGUUACAAAUGUUAAAAGCUAAAGGAUUCCCUGACAAAUGGUGUGACUGGAUAAUGGGAAUCAUGAGGGGAGGGAAAGUUUGCAUUCGAGUCAAUGAUUGUUUUGGGCCCUAUUUUUCCACUUAUACUGGACUCAGGCAAGGGGAUCCUAUUUCUCCCCUUCUCUUUGACCUUGCUGCUGAUGCACUUGCUAUGUUGUUGGAGAAUGCUCCAACAACACUGGCUUGAUUGAAGGGGUAAUACCUGAGUUAAUUGAAAGGGGGGUCAACAUUCUUCAAUAUGCUAAUGACACCAUUUUUAUGAUCGAGGAUGAUAUAGAGAGUGCUAGAAAUUUGAAGUUUGUGUUGUGUGCUUUUGAACAAAUGUCUGACUUAAAAAUUAAUUUCCACAAAAGCGAUUUAUAUUGCUUUGGGGAAGCGGUUAAUAAGGACAUAUCUACAACAAUAUUUUUACUUGUAAAAGAGGGGAUCUUCCUCUUAGCUACUUGGGGAUACCUAUAGAUGCUGUGAGACUGAGGAACAAACAUUGGAAAAGGGUGGAAAGCAAGAUGGAGAAUAGGCUGGGAUGUUGGCAGGGGAGGAUCCUUUCUACCGGAGGAAGGAACACUCUCAUUAAUUCUUGCUUGAGUAGUAUUCCACUUUAUAUGAUGUCUUUUUAUGAGUUGCCAGUGGGUGUUAGAAAAAGGCUUACUUUUUUAGGGCUAGAAUGUUAUGGCAGGAAGAGGAAGGGGUUAAGAAGUACCAUUUAGUGGCUUGGGAUAAAGUUUGUCGGUUGAAGGAGCAAGGGGGUCUGGGUAUUCUGAAUUUGGAUGUGAUGAAUAAGGCUUUGCUGGGUAAGUGGAUAUGGAAAUUCUUUAAUUCUAAGGGGUUAUGGCAGAAUCUUUUGCAUCAGAGGUAUGUGAAGGAUAAGUGCAUUGGGAGUGUUAAACAUAGGGCUGGGGAUUCGAUGUUUUGGCAAGAAAUCUUGCAUGUUAAAAAUAGUUUCUUUGACUUGUGUAAGUUUCUAAUUGGAAAUGGCAAAAACACUCGGUUUUGGGAGGAUUGGUGGAUAGGGACAAAACCUUUGAUGCUCCAAUUUCCUACUUUAUAUGAGAUCUACUUCAGUAAACAGAUCUCAGUGGCUGCGGUUGUGUCAAAAAAAGGGGGUUUGUUUUCGCCGAACUCUCUGCGGUGAUUUGUUUGUGGAUUAGCAUAAAUUUUACAAAUGUGUGAAAGAGUGAAGUUGAAGAAUACAAAUGAUAAGCUUUGGUGGAGCUUGUCUCACAAUGGAAAGUUUACAGUUAGAUCUUAUUAUAGGAAAUUGAUGUGGUCUAAUAUGGACUUUCCACAAAAGUUUUUGUGGAAAAUCAAAAUCCCUUUGAAAUUAAGAUUUUCCUUUGGUUGAUUACUCAUGGGAGUAUUUUAACUAAAGAGGUUCUACACCAUCGUGGGUGGAAAGAUGAUACGCGGUGUCAGUUUUGUGGCCUUGAAGAGACAAUUGAUCAUUUGUUUCUUCAUUGUUCCUUGGCACGAUUUGUUUGGAAUGUGUUAAAAUGUGCUUUCAGUUUACCUUUGUUGCCAACCACUGUUAGUGAGGUGUGGGAUACUUGGCUACCCUCCUUCACUGGGCAGACGAGGAAACUGGUAAUGGUGGGCAUUGCUGGGAAUUUCUGGACGUUGUGGAAUACCAGGAAUAAAGCCUUUUUAGUAAUAUAAGAUUGGCAUCUCCAUUCGGGGUGGUGAAGAUGGUGUGUUACUGGCUUAACAUUUGGUCUAUUCUGCAGACAAAGGAAGCAAGUCGAAAUCUGCUUCAGUGGGGGAUUAAGCUCAUUGAACAGGUGCCGCGAGAAGUUUUUGAGGCAGUGAGGGCAUGGAAUCCACUACAACGACGCUUGGAGUGGUGCGACUAGUUGAAUCUGACGAUCGCUGUUCCUGGAAGCUGUUCUGGCUCUCAGAUGUUGAGAGCAUUGUAGGCGGAUGGCUCAGUUUGUCCCUGUAGCUAUCUUGUCUUGUCGCUUCUCCUAGAUAUGUCUGAGUUGCACAGCAGUAGUCUUUAUAAGCUCUGCUGAUUUCUGUCUGUCUAUUUUUUCUGUUUUUUUGAACCUGAACAUUGUAGUUGGUUUCUUUAAUGAAAUCGGAGAGGGCGAGACCCCUCUUUUUUUUUAAAAAAAAAACAAUUGUUUUCUCUGACAUAAUUUUGUUUGGUCUUAAAACUCACCGGUUUCAGCUUUCUGACCGUAAAUGUGGUAGCACGACCAGGGACGGAUGCAGGAAUUCAACAUGAGGAGGGCGAUUUGGGGUUUGGGGGGGGAGGGGGCAGAAUUAGAGAGAUGAUCUAUUUUAAAGGGAUUUUAAUGGAUUGAUUAGUACUGUACAUAUUAAGUAAAAUCGAAUUUAUUAGGGGGGGCAAAGGCCCCCGGCGCCCCCCUUGUCUCUGUCCCUGAGCACGACUGAAACCAAAAUCCAACUAAUGUACUCCAUCUAUCCGUCAUCAUAAGAUGUUUUCCUCGCAACCUAGCCACAGCAACGGAAAUUAUGAGGAGCGCGUUUUACCACCGAGUUACGCUGUCAGUUUCUCGGCUGAAAUGCAUGACAAUGGCAGAAAAUUUACUGCUCCAAAUGGCGAAGAAGAAAUUCAUAGUGCUCUAACAUGUAUUUCAAAAAAACAAUUAUCUGUCUUUAUUGAUUCAAUAAUACAAGUGAAAAAUAUCGUAAAAACUAAAAUGAAUAUUGACAAAUGAAUAUUGAAAACAAUGAUUCCAAAAGUUAUUCAAAGUUAAAACCUUAAAAAUCAACAAAAUAUUGAUAUUUUUCAAAUGAGCCCCGGCGAUCAAUAGAAUCAUACAAACUGGACUAAGAGCAACUCCAGUAGAGCUCCCAAAUCUCUAUAUUGGGAAUCCCUAAAAAAAAAUUCUCUCCCCGAAUUUGCUAUCUUCCUAGACUCCCGAAAUCUCACCUUCUAUAAUUGAUUUACCUAUAUUUUAUUCAUACAUGUUCCAACUGUUUUGGAAAAGGGAGAGAGAUUUUGCUGCAAUCGUUGUGAUGGGUAGUAAUUAUCCAGUGCCCAAAUUUGAAGGCUCCCAGGAGGGAUCUUGGGGUCGGCCAAAUUCGGGAAGUAGGAUGGGGUUCUACUGGAUCCCUUUUUUUCACCAAAACCCUCCACAUUAGACUAUAGGGGUGGGAUGGGGGAAUAAUGGAGUUGCUCUAACCUCUUAAAAUCAAAUUCUCAGCGUUCUAGCAUUUUUUUUAAGAGGCGCAGCGUUCUAGCAAUUUUGUUUUCUGAGGUUGCUUCUUCCAUCUGGCCCGUUAGGCCCAACAAAUAACAUAAUACUUGGUCCAAACUCAAAUCCAACUCGGAGCUCGAUGGAAACUCCAGCCCAGUGUCCUUACCACUCACGGCCCAUGCCAAGCGGCCCACAUAAAGCGGGCGCGGACGUGCAGAGAGAGAGGACGGACCGACCGCUACACCACCAACCCCAACCCGCCGCUCGUUCUCGGGCUCAAGAGGGUCAAUCGCAAAACCCUAUCUUCUUCCCCCCAUCUUCCCCAGCGACGGCACCAGGCCCCUCCGCCUCUCUCUCGUGCCCGCACCCGGUACGGCUUCUCCUUCUACCUCCAUCGACGGGCUCCCCUCCAUAUCCUCACUCCGUUAUCCGUGUUUUUGUUGUUGUUGAUUUCUAGGGUUUGUAUUUUCGUUAUUCGGGGUCGGGGGCAUGUCUGUAUGCGCAUCAGAUGCGGGUUUGCUGUGUAGUUCGCAGGAUUACUGUUUCGAGGGUAGGUUCGUGUGGUUCUUGGAUCUGUAGUCGCGCUGCUGUCACUUUGGUAUCAUCUGAGUUACCUCGCUGUUCUAGGGUUUGUGGGUGCGUCGUAGGAAUCGGCGGGAGCUUUGCGCGCCUUGAACAGCUCGUGGGAGUUUAAACUGUAGGCUAUAUUUUCUCGGAAAGGUGGUUAACCUUAAGUUAAGUUUAUCUGAAAUUUUGGGUUUAUCUCCUGUACCCUGCGAUUCGACAUGAGAAAGGCCUGCUUACUGUAUCCGAAUCCUGCAUUUUUUUCGAACCAUCCUUGACUCUAGUUUUGAUGUAAUAGUGCUCCUUGGGAUUACAGGUUGCAGCAAGGAAGGAUGAGUAGGCGCUGGAGCCGGACUAUUUACGUAGGGAACCUCCCCGGUGAUAUCAGGGAGAGGGAGGUGGAGGAUCUCUUCUACAAGGUUGGUAUUUCUAAUUCCAUAGUGUGAAUCUUAUUUCUCUUGAAAACAAGGAAAUAGUGACAUAACUCUAAAAUACAUAGGACGAUGUUGUAGUUUACUGUUUUUUUCCUCUGGAUAACAGGAACACUCUAGUUUUGAUGUGUUAUUUUUCUCUCCUGAGUGCUGAAAAUAACAUUAAUAGUUGUGCCAUUCGGUAUUAAGAUAAUAAUCUGCAGUCCCUAAUUCACUCUGCAAUUUGGAAUUUUACUCCGAUUCUGCCUGAGUAUCUGAUGUUUAAUUCUUUCCGUGCAGUAUGGACGGAUUGUUGAAAUCGACUUGAAGGUUCCCCCUAGGCCACCUGGCUUUGCUUUUGUGGAGGUAACUCUUUGAAUAUGUUAAUCUUCUUUAUCUUUGCGAUCUGAAUUUAGAAUUUUUGUGCUUUUUAGGAGCUACUGAUUUUUUUCCGAGUUAGUGUAUAAUAUGGAUCCUGACUCUCAGUACUUGUUACCGUGCCAUAUAGUUUGAAGAUCCCCGAGAUGCUGAAGACGCGAUUCAUGGACGGGAUGGCUAUAAUUUUGAUGGAAAUCGGCUGAGGGUAGGUGCAAUGAGUUCCGCAUCAUGCUCUUCUCAGUUCACAUAUUUAAUCCUCACUAUCCACAGGUCGAACUUGCACAUGGCGGGAGGGCCAACUCUUCUUCGCUUCCAAACAGCUACGGUGGUGGAGGUGGAGGUGGAGGACGCCGUGGCGGUGUCUCUCGGCAUACAGAGUAUCGCGGUAUGGUAAACAUAUUGAAACGGUUACUGAGUACUCUACUUCUCUGUUUAUAAGCUAAUUCUUUGUGCGCCUUUUGACAGUUCUGGUUACUGGACUACCUUCUUCUGCAUCAUGGCAAGAUCUAAAGGUGAAUACUGCAAGACCAUAUUUUUCAUCAAUUUUUCAGCUUUAUUUUACCUUCUCACCGUUUUUCUCCUUAUUUCUCUGAAUGUUGCUGCAGGACCAUAUGCGAAAGGCUGGUGAUGUCUGUUUCUCUGAGGUGUAUCGUGAGGGUGAUGGUGAGUUAGUUUGGGUACCCAACUCCCUGCUGCACUAUAUUUUUCAUUUUUCCACUGUGUUCUGUUCACCCGGGCAAGAUGCAAAUGGAUUAGAUGAACAAGUUACAAGUCAGCUGCCAACAUUGUUAGAUGUAAAUUGCAUGCUUUUAGUGCCCACUUUAUAAUUCACGGCUGUUCUGAUUGAACUUAUUUCUAGAAAAUAGCAGUGAUAUCCUUUUCUUACCACAUCUUACAUGUUCAAACGUUCAUAUGGGACUCAUGGUGUGCGUGGUGCCUUGAUUGUAUUAAAACCCCAGCUUGAUUGCUAGUUCCAACUGUAUUAAUCAGGUUUAGUUAAGACAUGGCUGUUAACAGUGUACUUAUUUUCUAUCAAGUUAUUCGUGUUGUGUUGCUGCUACCUGUUGUUUACGUACAACAUCAUUGUUUGCUACAGGGACCACUGGAAUUGUGGAUUAUACAAACUAUGAUGACAUGAAGUAUGCUGUAAGUCCUCUCCUCUUUUCCUUUUCUUUUUUCCGGCUUCUCUUAUUGUUUGAGUUGCUAUUUUUUGUUACAUUGGAAUGCUGCUUUUCAUUACGCCUUCACAAUCUUGUUGAAUUUGUGGUUUUCAAGCACUGGGAUCGGCAGUGCCUUUACUUUGUAAUUGAAGUUGAAUUUUUUUUAAUGAACCAUGUGCAGAUAAGGAAACUUGAUGAUAGUGAAUUUAGAAAUGCCUUUUCGCGGGCACCUAUAAGGGUAAGUACACACUCUGAUGUCUAUUUUUAUAAUUUAUUCUGGGCUUGAACUUGUUCUGAAAUUAACCAACACACCACAACAUUGUUUUCUAAAGGUGAAAGAGUAUGCUGGCAAACGCAGCUGCUCAUACUCACGAAGCCGUAGCAGAAGCCGGAGUCAGAGCUACAGCAGAAGCAGGAGUCCAAGGUCAGGCUGUGAGAUUACAUUCUGUUGGCCCUGGGUAACAUAACUGAUCACUGAUCAAAAUUGUUAUGCUUUCAGCAAGUCUCCUAAGGCGAAACCAUCACGCCGUUCAGCAUCAAGAUCUCGAUCCAGAUCAGUUUCUUCCCAUCCACGGUCAGAGUCAAAGGGACGCUCUCCAUCAAGGUAACUUUGUCCCUGUUGUUAAUUCAGCAUGGUAAAUAUUGCAGUCUGCAAAGUUUCUGUAUAACCAAAUGCUUCUGGAGGUAAAUAUUGCCAUCGCACAUGUGUACACAUGUAUGCUCUGGUUGAAACUUGAAAAUAAUGGUCUGUGCGGAACAGCCUAAAUACUAUACAUCUAUCCAAGUUGGCAAGUGCAAACAAACUGUUAACCCUCAUGCUUUGGAUGUUGGAUUUACGAACAAGUCAUGAUUAAUUAAACUUACUGAUUUUUCCUAAUUGUUCUGGAAAUUAUCACAAGUUUUAUCACAUUCUAGUGUCAAAUGUUUCAUGUCUAACUAAAUUGGCUAGUGCCCGUUUCUUAAAGCGUCAAAUCAUUUCUUCCUUAGAUGAGGGAUUGUGCUGCGAUCUAGGGAUUGCGCAUUAGGAAAUUGAGGAUGGGGAUUUGGUCAAUUUGCACCAGCUCCAUUGGUUGACUGAGGUAUGGUAAUAAACUGGGAGCUGAACUGGAAGCUAAAAAUCAUCUAUUAUUGUUGACCUAAUGUACUGUAACUGAUUACAUCAGAGAUUGGGCAUAAGGAUUGGUUUGGAACUCUGGAAGUAGAGCAUUAAGGAUUGACGGUAUGGACUAUGACGGCACAUUGGGAUUUGCUCAGAUUUGAGUACAUGAGGAUUGUGAUCCUUUCUGGCUCCUUCACUGGCUUCAAAUCGGAGGGCUAUUCUAGCGUAUGAUCACGUAACAUUGACAUGAAACACUUUCAGUACUGCAUGUUUUUGACACAAGAAACUGAUUGCUUUUAAUCCUAAUGACUUCAUUUAACUUCCAUGUGGCCAUUUCAAUGCUUAAUUGGGAGGUAUCGAGGUUUCUGGAAGCAAGCUGUUCAAUUUGCAUUCUGAUUUUGAAUCCUGUUCGUUUCUGAAACCUUUUGCAGAUCACCAGCAAAAUCCCGAUCCCCUAUUGCUUCUGUAAGUAUUCUCAACGGUGCUUAUUUUUGUUGGUAAAGUUUGUGGUUGAAACUCACUUUUCGUUAUUUUUGCGCAGCCUGCCAACGGUGCAGCAGCAAGCCCCAAGAAACGCAGCCCAUCACGCUCCCCAUCUCCUCCUGAUGUAAUAUAGUUCUUACACUUGUUCUCGCGUACUGUUGAUAGUCAAGUGGUUGUUGAUCUUACACUGAUCCAAUUGCAUUUUCAGGCCAAAUCAGAAUAGAGCUGAUGUUCUGCUGGGUGGCGGGGUUGGAGCCAUGGUCCUCAAAACGCUUGGAUAUUUGUCGCCCUCGCCAACUUCGGAGCUCGCUGUUAAAGCACCUAGUUUUCCUAGGGCCCUGCGUGACAUUUCCUGUAAACGUAUUUGAAUGGGAACUUGAGAUUUAUGCACAAUUUCUUUAUGUUGACAAUUUACUUGGAUUAUCUAUGGUCGUAAGAAGACAUUUGAAAAAGAGUCAUACAUUCAUAAUAUGUGCUAUGUUUGUCGUACAUGGCGGUUGAACCGCUCUUCCUGACUGAUAAUUUAAACGCAUGCAUCAUACAUACUGGUACAAUUGGGUGCACACAGUCGUUACGUAAUGACACGAAUGCCGCACUGGAAUCUUUUAACGUAAUAUGACGCUGUUGGUUUACACAAUGUAUCAUCACUCUUGAUUGAAUCGGCGAUCAUUUGGUGUGCUUGGGCUGCUUGACGAUCAUGACGGAGCAGUGCGCGUGGUGUGCGCAGUAGUCGCUCACGCUCCCCAGAAAGGCCCUGCACCAUCAACAAGCGCUCAUUCAGUAGAUAGGUAGAUUCAGUUGAGUUGAGGAGGUGAAUCUUAGGCAGGAAUUUAGAAAGGCUGAGCAUUUGAAGCCUAGGCAGGAGAAUGCUGCAAAAACACCAUCGUCAUCUCUAGAAGAAAGGAGCUGCAGGAAGCAAGACGAACCUCUUGAUGGCGCCGUAGCCAUGGCUGCCGACGACGAGCAUGUCGGCCCGGUGCUUGUCGAUGGCGUUGCACAGCACUAUCCUCGGCUCCCCUUCCACCACCUCAACCACGCCCUCAACCUGCCGGAUUGAUUCAGCCAGUCAGUCCAAGCUAAGUACGCUACCUACAUCAAUCAGUCUCCCUUUCUCUCGAUCCAAGAUUCCAAGUUCAUACCGAGCUGGCGGCGCAGAGGCGGCGCGCGCGCUCAACCACCUCCUCCGCCCUCCGCCGCAGGUCCGCCUCCACGUACCUCAGCACCUCGCCGCCGGCAGCGGCCGCUGGAGAGAACAAAAAACCCAAAACCAAUUCCCAAUCGGAACUCUGCGUCACCAUAAAUUCAGAAUCCCGAACCGAUCCCCCGGAAAUUAAAAUACGGAGUAGAUCGAAUCAAGGAUGGGUCGGAGAGGGGUGGUGGUGGUUACCGGCCCCGCCGACGGUGACGACGGAGGACGGGGACGGCUUGGCGUGGACGACGACGAGCUCGGCGGCGGCCAUGGCGGCCACGUGGCGCACGGCCCACUCCAGCGCGCGGUAGCUGUGGUCGCUGUCGUCCACGCCCACCAGCACCACCGUCUUGUUCCUCGUCUCCUCCUCCUCCGCCGCCGCAGGAGCUGCUGCCGCUGCCUCAGUCUCCGCCAUGUAUGUAUGCUCUGGUCAGAAUCAGAGAGGAGGAUUCUCAAUCUGCCUGCUUCUUGCUUGCUUGAUCGGAGAGGGGUAGUGGUGGUGGGUCUUGACUCUUCACUCUUGUUGCAGGUUAUACAACGGCAGGCCGUGGACUAUAUAUAUAUAUACAACGGUGGUGAACUGCGCGAGCUGAGCUGAAAUCGGGGCUGACGAGGACGAAAACCGGAAGUGGAUCCGCCGCCGGGAAAUGGAAAACGGGAGGAGCUAAGCUGCUUGUUGCCUGCUCCGGUUUUCUCCUUUUUCCCGUUUCGUUUCUCGUCCUUGUCUUUGACUUUUCAGCUUGGACCUGCUGCUCUGCUCCUGCUAGUUGAGUGCUUGCUUGCUAGGAAAGACAGCAACAGACCAACUGAUGAUUAACCAACAGAAGCUUCGAUCUCGCAGAUUUGGUGUGAUGCAGCAUCGCACCGCACCGCAUUUCAUUCUACGUACGGUACAACAAAGCAAAAUCUACGUGCUUCACUCACUCCGGUAACUUUAUACUGAAUCUCCGACGCUUGUUACGGAUCGGAGGAAGAAUAAUUUUCGCUGGUUCGGCGAGACGGAAAGGUUAAUUACUCCUUUGUGUUCCGUGGAAAUGUGUGCCACCGGGACGCUGCUUUAGGCGAGAAAGAAGCACAAAACAUUCGACGAUAGAAAAGGCGCUCCCACAACUUGAUAUGGACAUGGAAUAUCUAAAGUCCGAUCCGAAAGAUCUGCUUUCAAAAAGAGUAAUUAUCUUCAGAAAUGUCUUGAUUACAUACAAGGUGGAGGCGUCAAGCAAAGGCACUUUUCAGCGACAGAAGCACUACGCACCGUGGUAACAACAGAGCGAGAAUUCCACGCCAAGGAAACGAGCAAACCGACGAACAAUGCAAGUCCUCUGUUUUUUCUUUCGGCAAGAAGAUAACACGCCAUGAAUUCCGUUGGCCUGGAUAAGCUUGAGCCAACAUCAUUUUGCGUGUGUCUGAUCGAGACCGGCCGGGAUUUCACCUUGAACUUGAUAUCGAUCGAUUCAGGGAAAGGUAUCGAUGGAUCGAUAGGUACGUGCAUGCACGGCACUCCCAAUUAAGCUAGUCUCGACCAACAAACUUCCGUUACACGUCACUCCGUCACUGACACGUUCGCACCGUGCUAUAUGCCCACGUUCGUACCUGCCUGCAUGAAUCGGUUAGAAUGAGUCCUCGUGCUCUUCUCUCUUAUAAUCUUGCCUAUUCUUUGUUCUCGUCGCGUAUGAGCCAACGAUUGUGACUCUAUGGAUGUUUUCUGUUAUGUCUUUGCAAUAUGUACGUGGUAAGUUGAUUUUCCAGUCAUUGGAUAUGGUCUGUGCUUAAGGUUCCGGACGAACGAUGAAAAAAGAAAGGUGAGACGACUUUUCAUUUUUAGAUAAGACGACCGAGAUAUAGCCACACCUAUGGAUGUUUUCUGUUAUUGUCUUUGCAAUAUGCACGUGUAUAAGAUACAUUGGUAAGUUGAUUUUCCAGUCAUUGGAUAUGGUCUGUGCUUAAGGUUCCGGACGAACGAUGAAAAAAAAAAGAUGAGACGACUUUUCAUUUUUAGAUAAGACGACCGAGAUAUAGCCCAGUUGCAGCUCGUACACAAGAGUUCCAUAUUGUUUUGUCAUUCGGUGGACCGAAUAGGCCGAACCGAAAUCAACGGGAAUUGGUCUUUGAAUUUCCAUUUCAAAAGUUUGAUCAUCAUGUUCGAAACCCAAAAUUCCUGAACGCUGGAUAGACCUAACCGUGCGUGACGACCGAUUGCCCGUUCCAGGCCUAAUUUCCACAAAGACAUGGGAGAGACGGCGGGUCCGCUUAUAUACACACACACCACCAGUUGACGUGGUGAAGAAGCCUCCCACUGCUUUCAUUUUGUUCCAAAAUCGCGUCCUGCACCUUUUCUUUUCCUCUUGUUGCUCACACGAGUUGCCGCCCCUCGUUUUCCUUGAAUCCACGAGCCGCGCGUGACUAGAUCGCCGCCUCCUUUCAUUUACUUGCCUCUUUCCCGUGCUCAAAUCACAGCCCCUGAACAUCUCCUUUUCAAGAACUGGUCUUCUCUGCCUGCCUGCUUCAGAAAUUAGCAGGCUUUCCCGUUUGGAAUCAGGGGUGUGUUUUUGACCUUGUGGUCAUGAAGUUCGCCAAGAAGUACGAGACGUACAUGAAGGGGAUGGAGGAGGAGCUCCCCGGCGUGGGGCUCAAGCGGCUCAAGAAGAUGCUCAAGAAAUGCCGCGCCGAGCUCGGAUCACACCAGCAAUCCUCCUCUUCCUCUUCCGACGCCGGCGGUGUCCGGUGCCUCGGCCAUUGCUCAGGUAAAAGAAGCCAUGACCAUUUCCGGUUUCCUGUUCUUUUCUGGUUCUGGUGCUGUAAUUAGUUCGUGAAAUCCCUUGCCGGUCUGUUAUUAGUAGCUGGAGGAAUCUUUUGCCGGUGUCCUGUUCUUCUUCUUCCUGAAUUAAGACCCUGCCCCCCCCCCCCCCCCCCCCCCUAAUGGAUGGAUUCCUCCUUUAGCAAAAUGACAAACCUAGAAGAGAGAAGACUACAAUCGGGUCGUUGUCAAUGCCCAUAUUUUGGAUUCCACUUGUUGCUAGUUUGCUACAGCAUGUUACCAGCGUGACAAAUCAUGUGUUAUAUAUAAAAAGAGCUUGACAAAUUCUGCGUGGAACCUGCACGUUGCAGCUACAACAUGCCUUUUUUUAAGAUGUACAACAUACACAAGUAAUGCAUGAAGAAAUCAAGGCUGAACCAUCAAAGAAGUUGAAAUUACAGCCUUGCAUGUUCAACUAUCAGUUCAAACUGAAUACUGACCAUAGAAAUGGUUUCACGCACUAAAUUAUACCAGGCCGUUAGCCGUUUUGUUGAUCUAACAAAUCGCAAGUGUACAUAUUGCUGAGCCCAGAGUACUGACCGUGAUGACAUCUAUUGACAAAGUCGCUUUACAAAGUCUAUAAAUAAAAUAGCACAAUUGCACCAACCAGUGUAGAGUCAACUGUGCUGUGUUUCAUAGGUUUAGCAAGGAACUUACUGCGAUUGGUGCAUCUGUUCCAUUGACUCCAAUUUUCUACUCUAUAAUAAAUCUCUGGAGUUGCCUACCAUGGUUUUGAGACAAUUAUUUAUGUGAACGACUGCAAAGUGCCAACAGACAAAACAAAAGUUCAUGCAUGGUUCAGCUGGCAUUGUAGAUGUUUAAAUUACCUUUCAAGGUUGGUUAGCUGACAAGUUCCUAACAAUACGCAGUAUGUGAUGGGAGUUUCUUCCCGUCCCUUCUCAACGAGAUGUCAGCCGUCAUUGGCUGCUUCAACAAGAAGGCCAAGAAGCUUCUUGAAUUACAUUUGGCAUCAGGUUUCAAGAAAUAUGCCAUGUGGUUCACCAACAAGGGCCACAAGAGCCAUGGGCAAUUGAUACAGCAAGGCAAAGACUUGGUUACAUAUGCAAUUAUAAAUGCCGUAGCGAUGAGGAAAAUUCUAAAGAAGUAUGACAAGGUAUGGUCUUCACUCAAACGACCUGAGCUUUUUUAAGGAUUAUCAGAAACGACCCUGCCUUUUCCAACUGUGAAAAGCACUAAUAAUAUUUAAGUUCUCAAUACAAUAGUAACAAAAGGAAAGAACUACUGGAUGUUCCUGCAUCAGAGGGGAGAAGAGGAGAAGCAAGCGAAUUUCAUGCAUUUUAGACUUAAACAGGCAAAUUGGAGUUAAGUUCUAAAUGCCAAUGCAUAUUGGAAUCAUCAGAUAGUCCAGAAUAUAUGAUGUUCUGUUUCAACUACGUAAUCAUAUUUCUGGUAUCAAAUUCUUAGUUGUCUUUACAUUUCAGAAAUAACAAUUGUGAAUCAACAAGUAAUAAAAAAACAAUGAUCAAAAGCACCUACUUUGCAGAUACAUUACUCGAAGCAAGGGCAGGAGUUCAAAGCUCAAGCCCAGAGCCUGCACAUUGAGAUACUUCAGUCCCCAUGGCUAUGUGAGCUAAUGGCUUUCUACAUGAAUCUGAGAAGGAGCAAGAACAACGAGGUUGCGAUGGAGCUCUUUGGUGACUGUUCGCUCACAUUUGAUGAUGAUCAGCCAACGCUCUCAUGCAACCUCUUUGACUCUAUGCGCGUUGAUAUUAGCUUGAUGUGUUCAAUUUGCUUGGUGAGCUCGCACUUUCUACUCAGAGCACCACUAUACACUAGUUACAUUAUUUCGAUCUAUAGUGAGGAUAACUGUUCCUACGUUUGUUGUAAUGCAUUCGACAUACAAUUCGUUGCUAGUGCAUUGCCACAUUGCGAUUUGUCUUCUUUGUGAUGUCUGAAAAAUUCAUCUGUUUUUCUUUUGCAGGACACAAUGUUUGAUCCGGUCUCUCUUUCCUGCGGCCAUAUAUUUUGCUACUUGUGCUGCUGUUCUGCUGCAUCAGUGACGAUUGUUGACGGACUGAAGUCUGCAGAUCAAAAAUCAAAGUGCCCACUGUGCCGACAGGUAAAAAUAAUUUCAUCAGUUUGGGGACAGUUGUGUGUGUAUGUCCAGCUGACUGCCCUCAUUUUCCAUUUCAGGUUGGGGUCUUUCCUAAUGCUGCACACUUGGAUGAGCUGAACAUGCUGAUAAGCUAUAGGUAAGUCUACAUCCCAACAAAUCCUCUGUGAGCAACGAUAUGACAGGAAAGGUACAAUUUUCUUCUGUACCUUGUGAUUAGUUUAUCAGUGUUGUAUAUCAACAGCUGUCCAGAGUUUUGGGAGAAGAGAAUGCAGAUGGAGCGAGUUGAACGUGUUCGCCUAGCUAAGGAGCACUGGGAGUCACAAUGUAGAGCAUUCUUGGGCAUUUGAUGGAACGUGUAAUCUUGGUUAAAAAAAAGGAAUUUCUCAUUGUUGACUUGUUCUUGGUUAGAUCUUGCUUUGUUGGAUAUAUCCUGCUGAAAUGAAUCGGCCUGUAAAGCGGGUUCACUUUUGUGCACCUAGACGAAAAGGAGGCACAUGUGUCGUGAUUAAUGAGUGUAGAACUGCAAAAGUGACCUGGCCUAUUUGGCCAAUUUGGCUUUCUGAUGUUUUACCACAGAUUUGGGCCUGCCAUCCAGAGGCACCUACCUCUAAAUAUACAUGAUCUCCAUUGUUAUUCAGGCAAUAUCUUGCAUGUUUCCGCCAUUUUCUAUGAAUAAGUGUAAGUUGUUCUGUGCGCUCAGAGGAAUUCAAGAACCAGGGUCAAGUUACUCCAAAGAUUAGGAUCAAAUUCCUUUGUUGAGACUGUGACGACAGGUUGCAAUACCAGCCCAUUGAAUCUUCUGAAUGGCCUGAUUUUCUAUUCAUUUAUUUGUUGUUAAGUCACUAAACGGCUGAUACUACCUGAACAAACACCAAGCAUCAUGCUUUAGGGAUAACACAUCGAUGGGUGCUACUUUUUUUCUCUAUAGAACACCAUUAAUGGAUGCUGCAAUAACAAUCAAGAUAAACAUUGUAAUCAUGGAACCUCACUACCUACUUCACUUAUCUUACUGUCUUCCCUAAAUGUCACUUUUCUAUUCCCUCUGCUCUAUCAAAAUCAGAUCCUAGAUGAAUAUAACUAAAAGGUUUUACAAAACUCUGGUGGCAUGGUGAUUUACUCCGACAGUUCAUAAUCACCAGUUCACCACAACUCCAGUUGCUGACACCAGAGAAAUACUUCCUCACAUCUUUGCCAGUAGAAUGCAAGAAGAAUACCUGACUUUGGAAAAUGUCUGAAAUGUGUCGGUCAUAAAUGGCUCGUUGCUUAGUCAGCUCUUAAUCUCAGGAUCUCCUUUGCUGUCCGCUUCCUAAAAUAUUCCAUAUGUUUCUGCAAAGAGUAAUAGGUUUAAACAAAUCAAACUACAAAGUACAGGGUAAACGGAAAUGCCACUGUAUAUAGGUGUAUGAGAGAGAUUUGAGCUUGACUUUGCAAUUUUGCAUAAGCCUCGUUGGCAGGCCUGUUCUGGAAGUCCUUGACUUCAGAGAAACUCAGGAACCCCCAAAGAGACCCUAAUGAAGCAUAUUUACUAAGUUCAAAUUCACUAGAUGUCUAUUAUACUCACCUGACUAAAAGACAGUCCGAGACCUCUGCUGUGGAAAUCGAUGAACUUGAGCAUAAACAUACCGCAAUCCCAUCUAUUACAAGGGAAGUUCAGCAUCAAACAAAUCCAUGUUUGCUCAUUGUUAACGCUAAGUACAACAUACAUUUCAGGUAGUGAAAAAUGAGCGUUGAAAAUGCAGCAGUGCACUGAAUGAUGAUAACUAACACUUCAUAUGAGUUUUUUGCGGAAACCAAAAGCAAACUGUUACUGGCAGGGAAUAAGCAGUGGAAAGGAAGGUGUACCCAUUAUGUUGCAAAGGAAAAGGAACUGGUCUUUCCAGCCAAGAAUUGAUGUCUAUCUCUAUGUUACUCUUGUCCUUCAAUUCAUCCAUAAUAUAUCUAGCCUGAAGAAACACAAAAACAUAACUUUUAAUUUAACAAAAAAAAACAAAUAGAAAGAUGAAGACUUACGAUAGCUACCAAUGGAUAUAUUCUAACUUCCCAAAUAAUAAUGCCAAUUUGCUGCUUGGUAAGUUAAACAUGAAAAGAUCAUAGAUGAUAAAAACUAAAGGAUACCUCUGAAGAUCUAUAAUAUCAUAAAUGGAACACAUUUUCCUUAUCUAUAGCACAGAGAGCAAAUCAUGUGAAUCAUGCGCAUGCAUAAGUUGUAAAAUAACAGUCCUCCUUUUGCUACUAUGAGCUAGCUCUGCCACCCACAUGCAUAAAUCAAACCUUGAGCACCACAGUCCACAGGCCCACCACAGAAUGAUUUGAAACAGUUACUUCAAAUGUUAUGCAUAAUCAUUGGAUUGCUAAGGAACUAUUUUCUGACAAGUCACAAGAGAAGUAAUUGGAGGCUAUACCUCUUAGCUCUCUAAGUGUUUUACUGUAAGACAUCCGUUUAGCAGAUAGUAUUUUACUCAAGAUAUCAGUUGAGCCUACCAGUAUUCUCAGUACAGAGUAGUCCAUGCCACCAAAAGAAUCAAGAUACUGGAAAGUUUUUUCCUUCAUGUUAAUAACUGCCAGGCACCAGUGCAUAUCUCUAUGUACUGGAACGAAUAUCUGCACACCAAAUUCUAACGGUAAGUUGAACAUAGGAAUGAAAUUGUAAAAGAACAAAGGCCAAUAAUAAAAAAAACAAAGAUCCAACUUUACUUUGUCACACUGCACAAGCUCAUAGCCCAACUUGUUGAUGGCUGUCCAUCUUCUAACAGAUUCGUAGUCAUAACCAGUUUUCCCAGAAGCAAGCUGAACAAGAAUCCAGAAAGUCAUGAGGCGUUCACAGUUCAGUGCUAGCUACAUGCUAAAUUAACACAAAAGAUCUAACAAGCAAGGUUACUAACAAGUAUUAACAGGUCUGACAAUCAGAAAAGGAAUAGUCUCGUACUGGACGAACAACAUACAACAGUGGUCUAUAAAAUAACAAGCACUUCAUAUGUAUUAUAGUAGUCAUCAAGAGAAGGGCCACGAGUUUAGUAACCAUGAGGCAUGAAUGUAACAGAUCAAGGGAACUAGCCAUGUAAUAGGAUAGGAAACCAAGCCAUGCCUGGGUGAUCGUAUCAUCGAGCUUUGUUCAGAAUUGGCUCAUUUGAUUCAAUAUAUUAUUAUUUAUAGUUUCAAAACAAUCUUAUAAUUGAUCUUACGAGACAAGCCAUAUCAUAAUCGAGUUUCAUUUGAUUUCUGAGAAAGUAACAAGGAUAAUCGAAGCAAUUUUGAACCAAGCCCAUGAGCCGACUAGUCUCAAUUAUGAAAAGACUAACGAGAUUAAUCGAAUCAAUUUCAAAACGAGAUUGCAAGCCUGUUAAGGAGCAUUUUUCAGACACUUACAUGUAAGAGAUGCAUAUUCUUAAAUUAAUAUAUGACCUCAUAUGCUUGAAUGGAAAUUUCCUAUGCGAAAUUUGCUAAAGGUGUGGACUGCCACAAAAAUAUUGCAAAAUCCAAGCAAUCAGUACAGAAUCAUGCCUGAAUAGUGCUACAGAUAGAACUACUAAGUGCUAGCGGAUAUAAGUCAUAACUGGUGUAAGUAGCAGAACUACAGAAAGACUUAAAAGAAAGCAAAGAAUGCAGAUCAGCUAACCUUCUUAUAAAAGAAUGUGUUAAAGAAGUGGCAUUUUAAAAAUCUUGUGGGUUCUCUUUCUGCCCUCUCCUUUAACAAUUCAAGGUACAAAUUGACGACCUGCAAAGGAAGAAAUAUAAUAUCAUUUAAACAUAUCCUUCAAGACGUUCUUCUUUGAUGAAGAAAGUUCUUCAACAAUUUAACAAUUCACCUCAUCGUUUAACCAACCACGAGGCCUCAAACACCCUAGUGUCUCUUUGGUAAUUUCAAUGUUUGAAGGCUCAUGCGCUGCCACUAUUUUUUUACUGCAAAAAGAAGAGGAGAAUUAAUGCUUAAUGUUGGACAAAAAUUGAAACAAAUAAAUGAACGGUUGUCAAGUUAUACCUGUGACCACCACCAUACAAGGCGUUGUAUACUUCACUUUCUUCUCCUUUCGUGAGAGGUGUGAACAGUUCAGACAGAUCCUGGAAUAGUCAAUUACAAUAUGUGGGGGUUAUAUGUGAAGAACUGUUGAAAAGAGUCAUGACUGGAAAAUUUAUAGGUGAAUUCGCUCUAGUGAACAAGUUCACAAGCAGAAACAUAACAGAGCAAGUUCCAAAAGUCAUAUCUCGGUUGACGCCACUCCGACGAAGGCAAGUGCAUUAACCAUUUUACUAUGCAUAUCAGCGAGUCAUGUAAAUUGCAGCAUGAGAUUGAAAUGGCUACCUCUUGGGGUCUAUCGGUGCGCACCUCCUCCAGUGUGAUCUUGCUGGCAUCGCGAGUACCCCUCCUGACGGCACUGGCCUUGUCCCCCUGAACCUUCUUUGCCACAGAGAGAUCUUCCGCCUCCCGCGACCCCUCGACCCAUCCCUUCAGCAGCUGCGAGACAAAGUUGCCCAUGUCUACCCCGGAGGCCUUCCGGCGGCGGCGAGGGGAUGAUGAACCGCUCGGGAGGAAGUAGCGGAGGACGAAUGGGCGGACGGCGGGGACGAAUACGACGCUGCUGCGUGGUCGGCGGCGAGGGGGAGCGGCCGCGGGACGGCGGGCGGCGCGAGGGCGGCGGCGGGGCGCGGCGGAGAGGGCGAAGCGGAGGCCGAAGGGGCGGAUGGCGAGGAAGUGACUGGGGCAGAGGAGUCGGCGGCGGGGGCGAAUCGUCGGGGAGUUGCUCUCGGUGCGCCGCUUCCGGCGGAGUUGGGCGGCGGCGGCGCUGGUCAUGCCGCAGAGGCACCCGGCAUGGGAUGCUUGUGGCUGCGCGCGUGGCGGCGGAGGAGGGGGAGCGCUAGCUAGCGUGGUGGCGGCGGGCGGCGAGGGGGAGCUAGGGGUAGGGACUAGGGAGGCGGACGGCGCGGCGCCACCGGAAUCGCGGAUUUGAAAUUGGGGAACGCGACGAGAUACAUCGGCAACAAAAUUGAUUAACAAACCCUGUAAUUUCGCGAUAAAUUACAAAUUACCGACGUGCUCGUUAGAGGUUAACGUUAAACAGCCUAUUGGUAACUCGGCUUAAUUUUGAAAAUAAUAAUUCAAGGGUUAAUUCGAAAACUGUCACUGUAAUUCUUGUUUUUUCGAAAAACUCAGUGUAAUUCUCUGUUUUCAAUCGUAGCGACAGUUUUCGAAGAAUCCGUAAAUUUGUGGUGACAUUUUUUGGAAUAUGUAAAUUGUGCUGGUAUUUUCUGAAUACACAAAAAUUGCACCGGCACAUACCAAGUUAAUCCCUAAUUCAAAGGGUUGCAAAUACGACUACAAUUAUUAUAACGGAGUAGAAAUAUUCUUUUUCUUGUGUGCACAAAGCUAAUUCCAUAUUUUCAUCUAGCAAUUAUUUUUUUAAAGUUUAGAUAAACUAAAAAACAUGUGACACACGAAGUAAAAAACAUGUCCCACCAUUGAUCAGUAUCGAAGAGUUGGCGUCCUACCUCGACAACGGUUACGGCGAUUGUCCUAACCCAAGAAGACAAUAAUUAGAGUGGUAGGAACAUGAAGUAACGUGCUAAAGAAAAACUGUUUAGAAAAAAAAAUGGACUAGAGAAGUCAUUUGUUUUUUAUGCUUGUUUUUCAUGAGACUUUGAUGACUUUUUUCUUAUUCUCUUCAUUGUUGCUCUCACGGCGCACCUACAAGUAUACCUCAACUUCUAAAAUAAAAGUUCACCUCCAAUGUCGAGUCAUCCACUGACUGUUAGGUUGCCGUACCGAAAGUUGCAUUUCGUAUCACCGUCUGCUAUGUUGGUCUCUGUCUUUUAAUCUUUCCUGUUUUUCGAUUUGUAUGACUUUAUCUUAUGUUGAAUUCCUUAGUACUCCAUCCACUGUCCAGCGCAAUCAAGGCUCACAGAAAGUGUGUUAAAAAAAAGGCUCACAGAAAGAAAAAGAAAAAAGAAAAGGACAAAAAAAGGAAAAAGGAAAAAUAAAAGAGAAAAUCCCCCGUCUCCGUCCGAUCGGUGGUGCACCGUGCGGCGACCAUCGUCAACCGCCACGGCCAUCGCCUGCUCCCUCCCACUUGCCAUCCAUCCCGUGCGCCUGCCUGCGCCCAUCAAUCCCUCCCAAUCUCCUGCCCUCUCUUCCCCUCCGCGCGCUCCUCUCCUCUCCCCCACCCACCAAAUGUCGGACGACGACGGCGGCGCCGGCGAGCAGCAGCAGCAGCUCAGCGACGGCCAGAAGCGGGAGAUCGCAGUCUGGUUCCUCUCCCGCGCGCCCGCCGGCGAGAUCCACUACGUCGCCAAAGGCACCAACCCCGCCCCCGAUCCCUCACGCCUGCCUUAGCUAUAGCUGUUUGCACGUUCCAUUUGCCUGACUCUGAUCCCCCCGUUUUGUUCUCCUGCUCGAAUGGGUGGGUGGGCGCGCAGAUGUGCGCGCGCUGCUGGGCGACGACGCCGUGUACGAGGCCGCGGCGGCCGAGGCCUACCCGGAGUACAACAAGGCGCAACUCGUCUCCCUCGGCCUCCCCGAUCGCAGCGGCGAUGUGAGCAUUCCUCUCUCCCUCUCUCUCUCUCUGUAGUCUGUCCCCAGCUAUGUCUGCCUCGUGAUGCUGCUUCGUCUCUAUGCAUAUUCCAACGUACUACUGUGUAUUAUUGGCAAUUAUUGAAGUGAUAGGUUAUGCUUGUGAUAGGAUCGUCAUUUCAUCAUCCGUGAGUAAUAGUACAGUUCUUAGGCUAUAUUUUUGUUUGGGCUGUCUGGAUUUGCUAGACUCGGGAACCGAAGAACUGUACUGUAAGGUGGAGAAGUUGGUUAGGAACAUUUUGGUAGAUCUAUUGUCGAGCACACGAUAAGCGGGAGCAUUUUCCGUUGGAAUGGCCGCUUUCUGAGUGUGUUUUCCUAGCCAUGAUCAAGGCAUAAGGGUUUGGAUGCCCGUACCGGCUGAAUGUUGAAUGUUAGUUGUGUGAUAUAUGCCUGCAGAUAAUCAUCACAUCUUAUGGGGAGCUGGACAAGAACAAUUAUCUGGACCCUAGAACCGGCCAAGUUGCUACCGUGGAUCAUAUUAAGCAGGUAAUAAAUCGAAGGAUGUAACUGCUGUUGUUGCAAACAUGGUUAUUUUGCUUUUAUAUGCCUGUCGCAAGUGAGUAGUCCCUCUGAUCCUAAAUUGUUGUCGAAAUAUUACAUGUAUCUAGACGCUUUUUAAGAAUACAUACAUCCAUAUUUGGGCAAAUUUGAGUCAAGAAUUUAGGAUCAGAGGGAGUACUAAACAAGUAGUAGUCACUUAUCCUAGAGAGUGGUGUGUUUACCAGUUGUAUAUCUGCAAUAAGCAUGGCUUGCGUCUUGAGCUUGAUGGACACGGCUAUUGUUGGACUUUUGAAUUCUGAUGAAUUGCCCAGGUCAUCUCCGGUUGAUCUCUCUUAGUCUCUUACCACUCAUGCAGUCUUUUACUUAGUUCUGUUGUUGGCUUAUAUUUUUACUGAGGAAUUGAUCUACUGAAAAUAACCAUACCGUUUCAAACCAAAAUAGAUUUACCGGACUUAAGUUGGUUUCUUAUCUUCCAUGAGAUAGCUCGGAAGCAGAAGCAUGAAAAGCAACUUCUCCAAUUUGUCUGAACUCUACACAACACCAGCAGCAGUAUUAGGCCUCACUAGUUAAUAUUACCGACCUGCACAAAAUUAUUAUGCUUGGCAAAGUGUUGUUUUUGCAAAUAUAUGGAAUGGGAUUUUCUUCGCACAUUUUGUUUGUCAUUCAAAGAUUGGAGUUCCUGCAUUUGAUUUAAAUUCAUUUUGUUUUGUGUUUGUGUUCACAGACUUGUACAAAUUUGAGACCUGCUACAGAUGAGGAGCUUCCUUCAGCAUAUACUGAGGAGUUUAGGUAUAUUAACUCUGCUAUUUACUCUUCCUCGUUUCUUUAUUUUCCAUAUUACAUUGAUAGUCAAUAAUCUGUAAACUUUUUUUUUUUAUACAGGAGUGCUAUAGAUGUUGAACUGUCCAAAUACGUUAGUGAAGCUUAUCCAAAAGGUGUGUGUGCUGUUUAUUGUACCAAAGGAAAGGAUGUAGAGGGACCAGGAGCUGAUUUUUGUUUGGCAGUAGUUAUUUCUGCUGCUAGGCGCAGUCCACAAAACUUUUGGUAUGUUUUCUGACUUGUGUCUGCUAACUCUGUGUCGUUUUAUGUAAAUUCCCUUGUUAGCUUUAAUCCUGCACAAGUAGUUUGUUCCUGGUUAUCUUUCCCCCUUAUUUCCCUCGUUCUUGUGCUUGGCUUCCAGACAUUUGUAUUUCCGUUAUGCAAAAGUAAUGGAAAGGGGAGAGAUCCCGGGUUGAAAAAAGCUUUAGUCCUGCACCUAUAUAUCAGUGACUUUGAUCUGGAUUGUAAUGACAUCUAAAGGUUCUGUUGGUCCGAUUUUAACAUUGAAGGUGUCCAUUGUUUUCAGUUCACCCUCACCUUAUUUGCACCUCUAGAGAUUUUAGUUUUUAUCUUUGUAUCCUAGAUUCCUAGUACUAGUAUACUUUUAGAACCUGUUUCCAUAUGCAACUUUUGAUCAUAGAUUUUCCGCGCUAUGUUCUUUCAUUUCCUCGCUAAAAACUCAUCAUUUGGUUUGUGGCAAUACUGUUUAUCAUCUGCUUAUAAUACAUUUUUUAUCUUUUCAAUGGUACUUUUUCACUUGAAAAUUUAGUACUUGUUCUUUAUCUGAACACUUGUUUCACAGAAUCUGUCACUAGAACACUCGAAGUAUGCUCCUUAUAGGUUUGAUCUUCUUAUCAUUUAGUGUCUGACGGAGGCAACUUCAUAUUGUGUCAUCCAGCAAUGGCAGCUGGCGUUCCAUUUGGACUCUGGAAUUCAGUGAUGAGUUUCAAUAUGUUGAUAUUAAAGGAAAGAUACAGGUUAGAUGUUUUACUAGAUGAAGCUAAAAUCAUUGUUAAUUAAUGUUACUAAGUAAAGGUAGUAACUUCUGUAUUGUAAAUAUCACUUGCAUGGCCACCAGGUAGGUGCUCAUUAUUUUGAAGAGGGAAAUGUGCAGCUGGAUACUAUCGUUGAUCGCAAAGACUCCACAGUAUUGCAGGUUAGUCCGUGCAACAACUUGGAGCCCUACACUUCUUUUGUUCUUUUGACCUCAUAGUGGUAGAACACCCACUGUUUCUGUGGGCUGAAAUUUGUGCAGGUUAACAUGGAACAUGGUCUCCCCAUUCACUUUGAAACCUCACACACAUAAGAAAAGAGGCCUGAAGAUCUUAAUAUAUUUAUGCUAGAAACUACUAACUUGGCCCUCUCCGCAGUCAAUAUUCGAAUUUAAAGUUGCUUUCCCAGACUUUGUGUUUUAUCACCAUAAACAUGGUUUCUGUCAAAAACAAAUAUCAUUCCGUAAAUCACCAUAAACAUGGUCACCCAUGAAAUAUCUUCUCAAGCUCUGAAGCUCCCACUCUCUGUUUGGUUGUCGGCUUGUCGCUUAGCUGCUUAGUAUUGCUUUGCUUGCAUAGCUGGGUCCACUGUACAGUUAUUAUGUAUUUUAGGGAAACUUUGUCCAUUCUUUGCUAAUAUUGUUUUCUCGAACUCUCUUGCACAUGCAAUUCAGUACAUGCUCAUCU
rnacentral:lncRNA from 1 species